UACGGAGGAUGCAAGCGUUAUCCGGAAUGAUUGGGCGUAAAGCGUCCGCAGGUGGCUGUGUAAGUCUGCUGUCAAAGAGCAAAGCUCAACUUUGUAAAGGCAGUGGAAACUACACGGCUAGAGUGCGUUCGGGGCAGAGGGAAUUCCUGGUGUAGCGGUGAAAUGCGUAGAGAUCAGGAAGAACACCGGUGGAGAAGGCGCUCUGCUAGGCCGCAACUGACACUGAGGGACGAAAGCUAGGGGAGCGAAUGGG
rnacentral:rRNA from 1 species